AGGGACAGCAACGUGGGCGACAACAACGGAAGUGAGAGAACAGAACGGACAAUAACGUUUCCACUAUCUUCUCCGUUGCGCUGUCUGCUGUUUGUGUGGCUCAUCGGCAUCCAUUAUCACCUCCAGAGUCACAUCGAGUCGCGAUCUGGGCGCCUCUGUUCGAGGUCGAGCGAUCAACAACAACAAAGAUACUCCUGCAACACAGGCGACAGGCUCACACAAUUUUUCGCAGCAAUACGCAAGGCACCCCACGGACGCGGCCACCCUCCUUUUCGGUUCUUCUUUCACAUCCGCUGUCUUUCACUGCGUGCGAGGGGAUACGGGGUUUUGGUGUGUUUCCUCCGAUCUGCUUUUCUUGCCUCCCCCCUCCUUCUCUUCCCUCCUCCCUCCUCUCCCCCCUGGACCUUUACCAUAUUGAAGAGCAGGCGUUUCACCUACACUAAAACAAAAACGUGUGUCGACUAUCAGCUCGUAUUUCAGUGAUAGGGGGGUAGCUCUCCUCUCCCACUUCUUGAGUAUACAUAUAUAUAUACACUAUAUAAGCAAGGAAAAACCAAAGUGGGAAACAGAAGGAUCACCGCUGUAAAGUGGGAGGCGAACGAGGCGCAAAGAAGAAAAAAAAAGGAGGCGGCUGUGGUGGAGUGGCAGGCGACAUACACACACUCGCACUGUGCCGCCCUUUUUCGUUCUUCUGCUUCCUGUUGCGUGCCCUUUUCUCUCCUCUUUUUAUGUGUGGACCGACCGCGGCGUUUGAACGGUUCCCCCUGUUCUGUUCUAUUUUUACCCCUUUCCCAGUGCCCACGGAUUGCCCUCGAAAAUGUCCGUCUCUCCUCUCUGCGAUCAGCUGAAGCGCAUCGAGAAGGCGUACUUCUACCAGCCGGGCAAGAUGACGGAGGUACAUGCGAUGAGUGGGACCGUGAGCCCGCACACGGAGAAACGCGACUACUCGCGCCCGUUCUGCCUAGUCUCCGGUAACGGGAAUCGUCCGCUGGCAGAGGCGGUGGCGCUCCUGAUGGGCACCCACACCCACCACACGUCUGUGACGCAGUACUCUAACGGCGAGGUGAACGUGCGCAUCAACGAGUGCGUGCUCGGCGCUGAUGUCUACAUCAUUCAGAGCACCACCGGAAACGAGAUCAUCGACAUUAAUACGGCGCUCAUGGAGCUGCUCCUGCUGAUCCGCAAGAUGCGUCUGAGCAAUGCAAAGAGUGUGACCGUCAUCGCCCCCUUUUUCGGGUACGCUCGCCAGGACCGAAAGACGAACCUGCGCGGCCCCAUCUCCGCCUCCGUGGUCGCGCGCAUGAUCGUGAAGAUGGGCGUAAACCGUCUUGCUUCUCUGGACCUGCACUCGAACCAGAUUCAAGGUUUUUUCGACAACAUUCCGGUAGACAACCUUCUCAUGGCACACGAGUUUGCGCGGUACCUGCACGACCAGCCGUGGUUCAACGUCGAUCAAAUGGUGGUCGUCUCGCCUGAUGCGGGCGGUGUGGAGCGGGCAAAGCAGCUGGCCGAUAUUCUGCAGGUGGGCCGCAUCGUCACCAUCGUGAAGCGGCGCAUUGCGGCUGGAAAGGUGGACACGAUGCAGAGCGUGGGUGAGGUGGCCGGCUUCACUUGCAUCAUCGUAGACGACAUGAUCGACACCGGCGGCACACUGGUGAAGGCAUGUGAGCUUCUGAAGGAACUCGGCGCGGUGCGCGUGAUGGCGUGUUGCACGCACGGCAUCCUCACAAACCCCUGCCCGGAUCGCAUCAACAACUGCAGCGCCCUUGAGCAGCUUGUGGUGUCCGACUCCAUCCCGCAAGAGGAGCACCAAAAGGUGAUCCCCAAGUUGAAGGUGCUCACCAUUGCGCCUCUUAUCGCGGCCGUCAUUCACCAGUACUUGAACGAGAAAAGCGUCAGCUCCCUCUUCCCUCCCUCACUGCGGGACAGCUAAGGAAGGUGUGAGCGUGAAGUCACACGCGCACCUUUCUUGGUCACAGCAUACAGGAGACAAGACGAAAAAAAAUGAAUUAAUGAGUGCGUUCAGCCCCUCACAUCUCCAGCGGCACCUUUGCAUGCCUGCGUCCGUCUCUCGCUCGCUUUUCUUCCAUAAUUGCUGCUGCUGCCGCCUCCUUUCGCCUGCCGCAAGCACCGACACAUACGGACACACACACACAACCGAAGAAGUGGGCAAGAAAGGGCAAGGGUGGCCUCCCUCUUCCUCCCUCCUCACCGACCGCAGCGCUGACGAUGCCACGAGAAACCAACGUGUUGAUGGUCAAGGACUUAAAACUAUGUUUGUGUGUGUGUGUGUGUGAUAAUCUUCCCGUGGACGUCUUCACUGUGUUUGGCUGGCUUGGCUUGCCGUGCCUUCUCUCCUACUAUUUUAGGUUUUUGGUGGUCUUGCGUCGACGCGUCUAAACACAUUCGCGUGUUUUGGCUCUCUACAAAACAGAGAAGAGGGAAAAAGGGGGGGGUGUGCCGUCGUGUUUUUGCCCCCCCCCCCCUUCCCUACACACACACACACGGACACAGACAAAGACAGACCUGCUUCUGAUCAAACUGGGAACAUGGUUGCACAGGCGCCGUGAUCCAUGACUGGGAGUUGCAC
rnacentral:misc_RNA from 1 species